UGGGGAAUUUUGGACAAUGGGCGCAAGCCUGAUCCAGCCAUGCCGCGUGCGGGAAGAAGGCCUUCGGGUUGUAAACCGCUUUUGUCAGGGAAGAAAUCUUCUGAGUUAAUACCUCGGGAGGAUGACGGUACCUGAAGAAUAAGCACCGGCUAACUACGUGCCAGCAGCCGCGGUAAUACGUAGGGUGCAAGCGUUAAUCGGAAUUACUGGGCGUAAAGCGUGCGCAGGCGGUUUUGUAAGACAGAGGUGAAAUCCCCGGGCUCAACCUGGGAACUGCCUUUGUGACUGCAAGGCUUGAGUGCGGCAGAGGGGGGAUGGAAUUCCGCGUGUAGCAGUGAAAUGCGUAGAUAUGCGGAGGAACACCGAUGGCGAAGGCAAUCCCCUGGGCCUGCACUGACGCUCAUGCACGAAAGCGCGGGGAGCAAACAGGAUUAGAUACCCUGGUAGUCCACGCCCUAAACGAUGUCAACUGGUUGUUGGGAAGGUUCCCUUCUCAGUAACGUAGCUAACGCGUGAAGUUGACCGCCUGGGGAGUACGGCCGCAACGGUU
rnacentral:rRNA from 1 species